ACGUUAUCUUUUGAAGCUGUCACAUUUGGUUUACUGUGAGGAUUAUGGAUUACUCGACUCUUUAUAUAAAAAGGCGAAACGAUGAUCUAUAGAUUUGAAGGAAAACAUAGACUCAUGUGCCCUUUCAAGCUAGCUAAACAAACUGGGAUUAGCCAGGAUAUGUCGCAUGUGUCACAUAGCUGAAGCACACCCUAACAAUCAAUUGACCGAAAGUUUACGAAUAGUGAAUAUGUUCCGGAUGUCUGUACAAUAAAUCUUAAUCUGAGUUUAAUAGAUAAAAAACGCCGGCGUCAAGUGUGACAAAUGUUUUAUAAAGUCACCUUGUGGAUCUCUUAUUUCAUCCGUCAGACAAUUUCCUUUAGUGUUUCAGAUGUUGUGAGGAGUUUCUGGAGUGUAAAUUGUUCAUCCGGGACACUAAUGGAACGCGAUAUUCGAGGUGAUAUCACAGAGUUCGAUAAAAGUGUUUCUUUUCUGGUUUUAAUGGCAGAUUAACCGUUGAAAACGGAUAUUAAAACAUUAAAUAUUGAGGAAUAAUAAUUUGUUGAUCAGGAUUGUCAUCUAUCCAAUGUUUUCGCAUAGAAAAAUCAAAAUAAAUCUAUAGAUCAUCUUUAUUUAACUAUAUGACUGGCGGAAAUUGAAUAAUAACUUUAUGGCAAAAAAUGAUUAAGACUAUUUUAUAUAUGCACUGG